rnacentral:rRNA from 1 species
CUGCAGCUCAAGUGGUGAUCAUUAUUAUUGGGCCUAAAACGUCCGUAGCCUGUUUAGUAAAUGCCUGGGUAAAUCGUGUAGCUUAACUAUACGAAUUCCGGGUAGACUGCUAAACUUGAGACCGGGAGAGGCUCGAGGUACUCCUGGGGUAGAGGUGAAAUUCUGUAAUCCUAGGGGGACCACCAGUGGCGAAGGCGUCUAGCUAGAACGGGUCUGACGGUGAGGGACGAAGCCCUGGGGCACAAACCGGAUUAGAUACCCGAGUAGUCC